GGUGCACUUUUGUAGUAUAAUGAACAUUUUCUUUUUGGCAGGUUGUACAUCUACCCUACUGGUUUGAAUUCUGAGAAUAGAAAUUUGCCAAUCUUGAUGCAAGUAGUGACUACUCAGGCCUUGCAACUUCGUAAGAUUUUUCAAGGAACACACUUUUGUUGACUGGUCUGUGCAGUGACUACUCAGGCCUUGACUACUCAGGCCUUGCAACUUCGUAAGAUUUUUCAAGGAACACACUUUUGUUGACUGGUCUGUGCAGUGACUACUCAGGACUUGCAACUUCUUAAGAUUUUCCAAGGAACACAUGUACUAACUUCUCAGCAUUUGCAAGGCAUUUAUUUAUUAAGCUUCUUUCUCCUUUAAUCCAGCUGUAAUUAGUAGAAAGAAUUAUUGAUAUUCCUGUUCCUUUUUUGUGCUUUGGAUACAACAAGUAAGCCAUGAGGUCACAUCAAAUUUAUAAAUUUAGUUGGUAAGGCCCAUUUUGGUUGGAAUUAAAUGUUUAUGCAAUUGGGUCAAGAAUUAAGUGCAAAACUUGAAGAAACAACUAAGCAGCUAGUGAAAUGUGUUUUCUGAUAAAGCACUUUCAAUCUAACCAGUGACCCUACCUCAUCCUUUACAUGCUACAUAUGAACCAAUAUGCUUAUAGCAACUUCACUUUCUUACAUACUUCUUCAUAACCACCUCAAGUCUAAACUUUAGUUAACUACAGCUUUCAAAGAAUUGUUGUUUCUUUUAACAGUAUGAGAACAAAUAUUUACCAAUUCCAAAUUAAGUUCCUCUUUCACAUAUCAGAUUUACUUACAGAUUAUGUUUCUACCUCCAUCAACCUUGUGAUCUCCAUCUUUUGCCUUCAAACAGUGAAAAAAAUGUCUUGUGAUAUUGAUUUUGCUUAACGAUUUGGUCACGAAAGGUGAGUUUUUAUGUUCUCUACUUUUCUUCUUUAUCACCUUCAGUCUUUUUUAAUGAUCUAUAGCCGCUUUUCCCCUGGCUACAACUUCAACCCAUGUUGACAUGGUUUGAUAUCCUCAAAUGCUGAUACGAUUAGCAGCAAAGUAAUGGCUGGCCACUAAGUUGGUGUCUUUCCUCGCAAACUGCUUGAGAAGUUUGGUCAUUAUAGUUUCUAGGGCCACUAUAAUAUAUUUGAACAUAAAUACAUAAUGCUACACUUGUUCCUAUGCAUCAGCCAUGCGUAUGCGAAUUUGAUUUGUUUUGCAGAUGAGCAAGUCUGCAGGGAGGCAUGGUUGCUUGACAGAUUAAUGGCACUUGUCUGUGUGCAUACUUGUGAUAGAGUUCUUCUUUCUUUUUUUUCUUUUUUUUUUUUUCUUUUUUUUUUUUUCAAUCCAAUAAUACCUUCAACACAAUGACACGCCAUGUGACUAAUGAUUUACCCUUCUAGAUGUGCAGAUGCUUUGCAUUCUAACUUGUUAUAAUUCAUGCUUUACGCCGUAGCAGUGCAUGUCCUGUGUUACUUGUGCUUUUAAUCACUUUCAAAUCGUGUGCACAAAAAAAAAAAUGUGAUGACUAUAUAGAGGGAAUCUUCAAAGGGUGUGCAAAGAAUUUUGAGGCACCUUUUACAAUAAUUCUAUAUACACAAAAAAUAAAUAAAUAAAACACAAAAUAUUUUACAACUAUUGAGAUGACAAAUUGUUAAUAGUAGGUAAGGAGAAUUUGAAGUAACAGUUCCCACAACUGAGUUCAAAGAAGUAGCAGAAUCUUCAGGAACACUGGUUCCAGUUCACAAAGUUGCAUGUUGAAAACAGAGAAUAAUUUGCAAAUUGAAGUUCAUGGGAUUGGGAAGUUGGUGGUCCAAUAUAAUAAAUGACAGCAAAUGGCACCAAUUUUAUGGAGCUACCAGAGAAUGCAUAAAUAAAAUUAAGAUGAUUUACAUUAUGUUAAGAUUUAAAUUGUCAAAUACCAUGACAAUGUAAUCUUAAAUGGGUCUGCAUUCCUUGAUCAUUCUGUUAAACAAAAACCCUAGGAAUUUUGAAACUGAAAAUUCUCGCUCGAGCCAUAACAUGCCUGCUCAAGCUAGCUAAGGUUUUGGGUCUCUUUAAGUGUUUUUUGAGAAGCUAGGAGUGGCUUUUCUGGUUAGCCCUCUAGCCAUUCUUUGAGAGCUAAGCAGAUUGGGACUUUAUUUCUUUGGCUUCUUAAGCACUCAAGCAAAAUGGCAAUUGUGUGGGAGAUGCUCAUGUAUUGAGCAUAAGUUAAGAGUAGAGAGAGUUUGUGGAUUUGAGCUCCUACGCAAAACAACAAAGCAGAUUGAGGUUGGCUUUUGCUUUUCAAGCUAUCAAGUAUCAAGCCAAAAGCAAUCACUAGAGAGAGUGUUCGUAGCCAUUCCAAUGAGGUUUACUACAGUCAAACCUUUAGGGAGUUGUCUUGGAGUGCUAAAGGUUCUGGCUUUUUGCAAGCAAGGAGUUGGUGGAAAAUAUCACUAUUGAAGAAUUCUAGAGAUUUUGGAACUAUUGCGGUAGGAAGCCAAGCAGGACAUUUGCAAAGGCUGCAAAGAGUCUAGGCUAACAAAGGUUUGGUAAGUCACUGACUAUUGAAACUAUUCCUUACAUAAUUGAUUUUAUAUGGGACUGUUUGUGCCCUUUAGUAGUUCUC